rnacentral:rRNA from 1 species
GUGCCAGCAGCAGCGGUAAUACGUAGGGCGCGAGCGUUGUCCGGAAUUAUUGGGCGUAAAGGGCUUGUAGGCGGCUUGUCGCGUCUGCCGUGAAAUCCUCUGGCUUAACUGGGGGCGUGCGGUGGGUACGGGCUGGCUUGAGUGCGGUAGGGGAGACUGGAAUUCCUGGUGUAGCGGUGGAAUGCGCAGAUAUCAGGAGGAACACCGGUGGCGAAGGCGGGUCUCUGGGCCGUUACUGACGCUGAGGAGCGAAAGCAUGGGAGCGAACAGGAUUAGAUACCCUGGUAGUCCAUGCUGUAAACGUUGGGCACUAGGUGUGGGGGCCGUCCUUGGUUCUGCGCCGUAGCUAACGCUUUAAGUGCCCGCCUGGGAGUACGGCCGCAAGGCUAAAAC